CUUACUGUUCAUAGUCAGUCUGGUAUAGGAGGGGAACAAGGAAAGGAGAACUGGUUAUUACCUUAUCAUUAAGUUACAGUAAUGCAAGAUGACAAUGGUGGAGAAAGGGAAUACAAAAAAUGGGAAGGAUUCUUUUAUGAUAGAGGUACUGACUACUGCCUGAGAGGCUGACAAGAAAGAAAUAGAAGAAUCUUACUCAGGAGAUAAGCUAAGAUGUGUAGACAUUUCAUUAUUCAAAACAAACAAAAAACCCCAGAGGCUGAGCUACAGCUGAGCUACAAUUUCAAGGAUUCUGCCCAGUGUUUUCUACAUGAAGCAACUCCUUUACCUCUGUCUUCAGACUAGAUCAUUUUCCAUCAACUAUAUUUGCUUCUGUGGUCUUCCCAGUAGAUGAUCUUAAGACAAUAGCUUUUCAAUCCCAAGAGAAAAAGGAAAAAGAAUAAUAGUUUAGCUGGACUCAUCUCAUUACUAUUUCACUGGCUUAACUGGGCUAUUCUCGCAUUCUGAUGAUUCAGACUUUUGAAUGUGCCAGAAGAAUCCCAGAGAUUUCUCUUCCAUCUUUCCUCUCUGCAAAACAAACGCUAAGUAUAUGUGAUCAUUUUCAUCCCAUAAAUGUUGCACCUGUCCAUCACCUAGCUGAAGGCAGAAGUGAAGAAGACCUACCACAAAUGUUGCUGUCAUCACCUGCUAACCACGUGGGACAUCCUGAAGAGAGCUGAAAAUGCCACACUGAAGGGUUUUCAGAUUAAAUCCUGGAAGAACUGAGGAUAAGGAUUUAUGUAUAGUGCAUAUUAGAAAAGACGACUAAGAUCUGACACGUUAACAUAGAAUUUACCUUAGAGACAGAGGCAUAGAGCAUAUUUUGAAUGGAAAGUCGGAACCGCCCAAGGCUUGAUGCCAUUGGAUGAAAGUUAGCUAGGGCAGGAACAAGCCCUAUGGAUGAUAUCCACUGCAAGACUCUUGUGAAAGACUUGUCAUUGCCAUUUGUUGAUCACAACAAUGCUUUAACACAUUUCUACUUACUUGUUUGUUAAACAGUGCUCUUUGAAUAGUAUGAGGUUAAUAGGAAAGAACUUGUAUAUAUAAUGCCCAGAUCUUUGAAAUAGCCACAUUUUCAGUUAAUUAAAGUAAAUUUUUGUAAUUUUUUGUCUUAUCUUGUAACUUCAAUUUGCUGUGGGUUCAGCAGUAUGUCAGGAUCUUUGGGGAAUUCUAAGAGAUCAGAACAGAAGUUAACUAUGCAGAUUUUUAAAAUUUCAUUACACUCUUGGCUUGGCAUGUCACCAUGCCACAGUAACAGUGUAGUAGCUCUGUCAAACUUAUGUUGAGUGAUUUAGCAAAAAAAAUUAAGAGUCCUUAAUUAUUAAGGGCAAGGCUAACAUUCUGCCUGGAAGCGAUAAAGCUGUCGUCAUGCAACUCUGAAAGGCAGGGUUUAUUAUGAGCUGAAAGUGAAGACUGUGAUGUGCCUUCAACUGCGCAAGAACUGUAUGUUUUUGGAUCACAUAUAGCUUCACAAAAUUACCAUCUUGCUUGAUUUCUUCCUCUUCUUUGAACUCAUACUUUUUUCCUCCUUUGAUACACAUACUAGGAAAACCCAUAGAUUUCUUAAGAAUCUUUUAUAGUGAGUACAACCCCACUUAGGAAAGCCUACACCUUAGUACUAAAGGCUUAUAGAGAACUAAAGUUAUAAAGAGAGAAAGGGAGAGCUUGUUUAAUGCAGCUUUCCUGGAAUUUUUAAGCUACUGAAUUUUCACUCUUCUUGUAAAUGCUUGGCAAUGUUGAUAAAAGAACAACAGAUGUCAGUGAACCUGAAGAGUUAAUAGGACUCUGCCAGCUUGUCAGCAUCUAUGAGAGAUGCAGUCUAGACAGAUGUCUAAGGGAAAGAUGCGUGGGAUGGAGACUAAAGGGGGUCCAAUUGACAUUCGGAGACAGAGUUCAUCAAAUUACUCAAGCUCCUCUUCUUCUUUUCUUUUCUCUAUUUUUGUCUGUCUUUAUCCCUAAACUAAUUCCAGUUUGACUAAAAGCAAGUUCAAUUUUAACUACACAGCAGACAGUUAUAUCCUUGUGACUUUGUACCCUUUCAAAAGUGAAAGAAAAAACCUUCUCAUUAAAAUGAGCAAGGUUUUGAAAAUAUUUCACAUCUGCAGUGUGCAUUCUCACAAACAUAAUGUUUAAUGCCAUUGUAGAAUGAUAAGGCAAAUCACAGAGUAUUUAAGAAUGUAACUAUAUUUUUUAUGUUAUAGGAGAAAUAAAGCAAAACAUAUUGGCAACUGA